rnacentral:sRNA from 1 species
AAUCUAUCGCCGCUGCUAAGCUAUCCCUCGCUGCUAAGCUAUCCCUCGCUGCUAAGCUAUCCCUCGCUGCUAAGCUAUCGCUGCCAACCUAUCUAUUGCUGCAAGCUAUCCCUUACUGCUAAGCUAUCGCUGCCAACCUAUCUAUUGCUGCAAGCUAUCCCUCGCUGCUAAGCUAUCGCUGCCAACCUAUCUAUCGCUGCCAACCUAUCUAUCGCUGCCAAUUUAUCUACCACUGCCAAUCUAUCUAUCGCUGCUAAUCUAUCGCUGCUGUCAAUCUAUCUAUCGCUGCUAAUCUAUGUAUCGCUGCUAAUCUAUCGCUGCUGCCAAUCUAUCCCUCACUGCUAAGCUAUCCCUCGCUGCUAAGCUAUCACAGCCAAUCUACCGCGGCGAAUCUAUCUAUCACUAUCAUUACUAGUUCAAAAUAGAACUAGAGCAUAAAUACACUAAACUUCUUUUGAUAGGUAAUGAUUUUUGGUAACACUCAUAGCAUUAUAUCAUCUAUAUAGGGUAAAUCAUGGUCCCAUUUGGUCCCAUUUUAACAAAAUGGGACCAAAUGGGACCAGAAUCAGUAAUUUAUAAGAAGAACAUGACCUGGGAC